rnacentral:rRNA from 1 species
AUUGAACGCUGGCGGCAGGCCUAACACAUGCAAGUCGAGCGGAUGAAGAGAGCUUGCUCUCUGAUUUAGCGGCGGACGGGUGAGUAAUGCCUAGGAAUCUGCCUGGUAGUGGGGGAUAACGUUCCGAAAGGAACGCUAAUACCGCAUACGUCCUACGGGAGAAGGCAGGGGACCUUCGGGCCUUGCGCUAUCAGAUGAGCCUAGGUCGGAUUAGCUAGUUGGUGAGGUAAUGGCUCACCAAGGCGACGAUCCGUAACUGGUCUGAGAGGAUGAUCAGUAACACUGGAACUGAGACACGGUCCAGACUCCUACGGGAGGCAGCAGUGGGGAAUAUUGGACAAUGGGCGAAAGCCUGAUCCAGCCAUGCCGCGUGUGUGAAGAAGGUCUUCGGAUUGUAAAGCACUUUAAGUUGGGAGGAAGGGCAGUAAGUUAAUACCUUGCUGUUUUGACGUUACCGACAGAAUAAGCACCGGCUAACUUCGUGCCAGCCGCCGCGGUAACAC